rnacentral:lncRNA from 1 species
GUCCAUCAUGUUUCUGCAAAUAAAAAUAUUCUUACUUUUAAAUUAGGAGAAGAGACAGACAUUUACAAUGAGGGAAUUGGUUGUUAUAGAUGGACAAUAUUAACACAAUCACCAGAACAAAAGUAGAAUUGAUCAUUUUUAAAACUUGCUCCAAAUCUUCACAAUAGCAAUGCUUUAGAGGUACAAGCAAACAAUCAAAUAUAGUACAUUGCUUUUACAACUUGAUUACGAAAAAGAAUAAAGAACUACAAUAUAUUUUACCUUUCCAACUAAUAUUAUGAUGACGCUAGACGUGUUACUAGUUCAAUCACAAAUCUUGAUGAGAAACUAUAUUUUACCCACUUGUUUGCUUGAGUUAAAAUGCAUAAUUGAUGCAAAUUGAUCACGACAUAAAGAUAGGAGAAAAGAAAAGUAAGAAUUUAUAUGCAAAAAGGUCGAAUACAUGAAUCACCACCUCUGAUCUUGCCAAUUUUCACAACAAAUAUUUCUUCUCAUCUCACAAUGUUUCCUCACCUCUCAUUCUCAUUCCUUCAAUUCACCACACAAGAAUCUUCAAUCCCCAUAUACUACCAAAAAAAAACACAAGUAAUCUGUGUAUGCAAUACCAAUAUAUUAGCUUUAUUUAGAGCCGAAUGAUCAUACCCGCACUAACACACUAUGUUUCAUUUUAAUUAAAUCGUUAUAGACACUUAUAAAACAGUAACAAAAACAUAGACAUAAGAAAGUCCUAACCUAAUCAGCAAGUUCAACUUCAUUCUUCAAAAUCAAGUCAUCCUCUAUCAUUUUUAAAUCAUAUAUCAAACAUAUUUAGUGAAUACACAAGCACUUAAUAGCUACAUUUUCAAUAUGUUGUAAUACACGAUUAUAUACCACCCUCAAAAACUACAAAUAGGAUAAUUUAAAGCACAAUUUACCUAAAACAUGGUACAUCUGGAUUGCGGUACCAGUAUAGGUACAAAAUACAGUAUAAAAAUUUCAAGAAAAAUUUUGAUGAUAUAGGAGAGAAAAAGAAAAAGAAAAAUAGGCUGUUCAAACACUACAUUUCUCUUCAACGUCAUCAGUAGAAGAGAACAUCAGCAUGUAUGCGGUGCAUAGUCAAGCAUCUUUAAAAGGGUCAAUCUAUUUCUACUAGUACAUCUGGAUUGUGGUACCAGUAUAGGUACAAAAUACAGUAUAAAAAUUUGAAGAAAAAUUUUGAUUAUAUAGAAGAGAAAAAGAGAAAGAAAAAUAGGUUGUUGGAACACUUGCAUUUCUCUUCAAGGUCAUCAGUAGAAGAGAACAUCACUAUGUAUGAGGUGCAUAGUCAAGCAUCCUUCAAAAAGGUCAAUCUAUUUCUACCGGUACAUCUAGAUUGUGGUACCAAUAUAGGUACAAAAUACAGUAUAAAAAUUUGAAGAAAAAUUUUGAUGAUAUAGGAGAGAAAAAGAGAAAGAAAAAUAGGUUGUUGGAACACUUGCAUUUCUCUUCAAGGUCAUCAGUAAAAGAGAACAUCAUCAUGCAAGCGGUGCAUAGUCAAGCAUCCUUAAAAGGGCCAAUCUACUUCUACUUAUGACACCAUAAAACACAAGAAAGAAGAUUCGUAAGUACAAAAACUGGCCAAACAAACAGGAAAUCUUGGACAUUAACUGAGCCAGACUAGAACUCACAAGGAAUCUUUGGUUUAAGCUUUUUGACAAGCAAAUCUGACAGUACUAUCUACAACAUUGCAUGCUCUCAUCCACAAUAAAAACAAAUUCGCUAUUUCAUUGUAGUCACCUUUUAUAUGGUAUUUUAUGAGAUUAUGACGAUGGCUGUGCAGGCAUGAUAAAAAAGGAGAUUCUAUAACAUUCUAACUUAAAGAAAACUNN